UCUGGACACAUGAAGAGAGUUUUAAACUACUAUAAACUACACACAUAAGAGCAUCACCAAGUGGUGGAUGAAGUGAUAAGGGUAAGAGGUUCUGAACUCCAGGUCCAUGGGCUGAUUUUGGCCCGCUACAUCUGGCCUGUGACUAGACAUAAAUUUUGACCUUGAGUUAAUUUUUUUCUUCCUCAGCUCAAUUGGGUUUGAGACCCCUGUUGUAAGGCAAGUGAACGUACCACUUCAUCCACCGCCCCAAGUGGUGGGUGAGCCACAUUUUUUCUAUUUAUUUUAUCAGAAAGUAAAUAUUUAAUGUGUAGUGUAAAAUUACAAUCUCCCACAAAUAUUCUUUAACAUUUCAUCAUCAAGUUACCAAAUAAUAAUAAAAAAAGGUCAAGCGCACAGACUGAUCAAUAAUAAAAAUAAUCAAUACUUGUAGUUUUACGCUGCACCACACUGACGGCAGAAUUAUACCUGUGUCCUUUUAUGAUAUACAAUUUCUUCUCCCUCAGGAGAAUAACACCAUUAACGGUGAAUAAUUCAGCAGGUUUUCAGGGACGUCAGGGAGUCUGAUAUCCAAAAUGUGCUGUAUCUGGUGAUGCAAACUGACCAGCUCAGCUCUUCUGAACACAAACCCAGUGAUGCUCUGACAGCUUCUGUCUGCUCUCAUAACGCCGACCCCCUGACCCCGAGGCAGAGCCGACAGAAGUGUCUCAUCACGGCCACAACCUCGUCCUCAAUGAGGAGUUUCCUUGCCACGUCCUCCACGUGCUGCAGCGUCUCAGGUCGGGGCUGGGGGCUCCUGUCUUUAACCCCGGCACGGGAUUCCUUAGGGGAGGUCAAGAGAUGAAAAGGACGGCUCCGCUCCUUACCUGAGGGGCAUCACACCCAGGCAGUAGUCGUCUGAUGUGGUGAAGAGAUGCACAAUCCUGCGGAGGGCGCUGUCUGUGCUGGCUUCUGAUGGUGUGUGUCCAUUCUCCUCCACCACCAUGCGCCGGUGAAUCAGCCUUACCAUGUGGUCUUCUCCUUGGAGUAGCGGAUGCCCGGGAUCUUGCCGACCCUUCUCACCACCAUCUUCAGCCUGUUGUUUCCUGUCAGGACCUUCACAGCGCUGCUCAUGGUGAUGCUCUCCAGACUGACGCCGUUCACCUCCACCAGCUUAUCGCCUACACUCAGACCAGCCAGCGCUGUGGACACGAGAGCUGUCGUCGUCGACCUUGCUGACAAAUAUGCCCAGUCCAUGUUCAGACCCUCCGCGGACACUGAAACCCAGACGCCCGUCAGGACUCUUAUCUACUGUCACCGUGUGAAUGUCUUCACUCUCAUCGCCACCUGAACA